GAUCAACGCUGGCGGCGUGCCUAACACAUGCAAGUCGAACGCGAAAGCCCGCAAGGGUAAGUAGAGUGGCGCACGGGUGAGUAACACGUGGACAACCUGCCUUCGAGUGGGGAAUAACCUUCCGAAAGGAGGGCUAAUACCGCAUAACACCUCGGGACACAAGUUCUGGGGUUGAAAAGAGCAAUUUGCUCGAAGAGGGGUCCGCGCCUGAUUAGCUAGUUGGUGAGGUAACGGCUCACCAAGGCUCGAUCAGUAGCCGUCCUGAGAGGGAGCACGGCCACACUGGAACUGAGACACGGUCCAGACUCCUACGGGAGGCAGCAGUGGGGAAUUUUUGGCAAUGGGCGAAAGCCUGACCAAGCAACGCCGCGUGGGUGAUGAAGUAUCUUGGGUAC
rnacentral:rRNA from 1 species